UCAAGCGAACAAGGGCGCAGGGCGAAUGCCUUGGCACUGGGAGCCGAUGAAAGACGUGAUAAGCUGCGAUAAGCUUCGGGGAGCUGCAAAUAAGCAUUGAUCCGGAGAUUUCUGAAUGAGGAAACUCACCUGGGUUCAUACUCAGGUACGUUAUACUGAACUUAAAAAUAGGUAUAUCGAGGGAACCGCCUGAACUGAAACAUCUAAGUAGGGCGAGGAAGAGACAUCAAACGAGAUUCCGUUAGUAGUGGCGAGCGAACGCGGAAGAGGGCAAACCGGAAGGAGAAAUCCUUCCGGGGUAUGGACCGCUUUUAGGACUUUAGCUGUUAAUCGAAUGGCAUGGGAAGGCCAACCAAAGAGUGUGAGAGUCACGUAGAUGAAAACGGCGAGAGCUGCGCGAGUUCCGGAGUACGGCCAGACACGUGAAACCUGGUCGGAAGAUGGGGGGACCACCCUCCAACCCUAAAUACUACCCAGUGACCGAUAGCGUAUAGUACUGUGAAGGAAAGGUGAAAAGCACCCCGGGAGGGGAGUGAAAAAGAACCUGAAACCCUGUGCCUACAAGCACCUAGAGCACGUCAAUGUGUGAUAGGGUACUUUUUGUAGAACGGUCCGGCGAGCGAUUGUAUGCAGCAAGGUUAAGGACUUAAGGUCUGGAGCCGAAGCGAAAGCGAGUUUGAAAAGGGCGUUAAGUUGCAUACAAUGGGCCCGAAACCGGGUGACCUACCCAUGGUCAGGUUGAAGUGGAAGUAAAAUUCCAUGGAGGACCGAACCGACCUCCGUUGAAAAGGCGGCGGAUGAACUGUGGGUAGCGGAGAAAUUCCAAUCGAACCCGGAGAUAGCUGGUUCUCCCCGAAAUAGUUUUAGGACUAGCCUCAAGUUAGAUACCUGGAGGUAAAGCACUGAAUAGCCUAGCGGCCGAGAGGUUAGCGAAGCUUAUCAAACUCAGAAUGCCAGAGUAUUGAUGCUUGGGAGUCAGACAGUGUCAGAUAAAUGUCAUUGUCAAAAGGGAAACAGCCCAGAUCUACAGCUAAGGUCCCAAAGUCAGGUUAAGUGGAAAACGAUGUGAAGAUACGUAGACAACCAGGAUGUUGGCUCAGAAGCAGCCACACAUUCAAAGAGUGCGUAAUAGCUCACUGGUCGAGCGUCUUUGCGCGGAGAAUUUAACGGGGCUAAACCUGACACCGAAGCUUAGGCAAUACAGCAAUGUAUUGGGUAGGGGAGCGUUGUAUACGCGGUGAAACAGUAGCGCAAGCGGCUGUGGAGUGUAUAGAAGUGAGAAUGCCGGAAUGAGUAGCGCGAAUGCAGUGAGAAUCUGCAUGGCCGAAAGCCUCAGGUUUCUGGAGGAAGGUUCGUCCGCUCCAGGUUAGUCGGGAGCUAAGGUGAGGCCUAACGGCGUAGCCGAUGCACAGACGGUAGAGAUUCCGUCACCACCAAAAGAGUUAAACACAGGGACACAUUUGAAGUCUCGGAGCCGGGUGUUGGUUCCGGUAGCGAUCGAGGGAAGUUAGUACCGAAGUCCGGGAUGGAAGAUGGCGAGAAAAGCUGUGUGUAUUUCUGCGGUGCCCGUACCGCAAACCGACACAGGUAGGUAGGAAGAAGAUUCUAAGGCCAACGGGAGAAGGGUUGUUAAGGAACUCGGCAAAUUGACCCCGUAACUUCGGGAGAAGGGGUGCUCUAGAGAUAGAGCCGCAGAGAAUCGGCCCAAGCAACUGUUUACCAAAAACACAGGUUUGUGCUAAAUCGAAAGAUGACGUAUACGAGCUGACGCCUGCCCGGUGCUGGAAGGUUAAAAGGAGAUGUGCAAGCAUUGAAUUGAAGCCCCAGUGAACGGCGGCCGUAACUAUAACGGUCCUAAGGUAGCGAAAUUCCUUGUCAGGUAAGUUCUGACCCGCAUGAAAGGCGUAAUGAUCUGGGCACUGUCUCAACAGCCCGCCCGGCGAAAUUGUAGUACCGGUGAAGAUGCCGGUUACCCGCGACAAGACGGAAAGACCCCAUGGAGCUUUACUGUAGCCUGAUAUUGGGUUUCGGUGUUGCAUGCACAGGAUAGAUGGGACACUGGGAAGCGGAUGCUUUGGCGUUCGUGGAGUGGACGUUGGGAUACCAUCCUUGCGACAUUGGAAUUCUAACCUGCGCCUCUGAAUCGAGGCGGGGGACAUUGUCAGGUGGGCAGUUUGACUGGGGCGGUCGCCUCCUAAAAAGUAACGGAGGCGUUCAAAGG
rnacentral:rRNA from 1 species